UGGGGAAUAUUGCACAAUGGGCGAAAGCCUGAUGCAGCGACGCCGCGUGCGGGAUGACGGCCUUCGGGUUGUAAACCGCUUUCGGCAGGGAAGAAGCCGUAAGGUGACGGUACCUGCAGAAGAAGCGCCGGCUAACUACGUGCCAGCAGCCGCGGUAAUACGUAGGGCGCAAGCGUUGUCCGGAAUUAUUGGGCGUAAAGAGCUCGUAGGCGGUUCGUCGCGUCUGCUGUGAAAUCCUCAGGCUCAACCUGGGGCGUGCAGUGGGUACGGGCGGACUGGAGUGCGGUAGGGGUCACUGGAAUUCCUGGUGUAGCGGUGGAAUGCGCAGAUAUCAGGAGGAACACCGAUGGCGAAGGCAGGUCACUGGGCCGCAACUGACGCUGAGGAGCGAAAGCAUGGGGAGCGAACA
rnacentral:rRNA from 1 species